CAGCUCUCCUCCCUGGGACUACCCAAGAGUCCUGGUAGCCUUCCUCCCUCAGAAGCAGAAGUCCAGACUCCCCUCCUCCUUCACGUUCACAGUCCACGCUCUAGCCUUCCUCAGUGGAAGAUUCUAGAAAUCAGCCCACCUAUCAGACACCGAGGUCCAGAUCUAGGGAUGCAGAUGGCAGCCUCCUCCCUCAGACGGUCUCAUCUCUCCUUUAUCCUGGCCCCAUUUGACCUGCUCCCCAGCCUCUGCUGCCCUGCCCUGUUGGCGGACACAGAUCUUCCCGGAGGUCCUUUUCCUGUUCCCAAGUCCAAUCCGGGGCACCAUGGUGCAUUUAGGGAACUCACUUCUAAAUCUAGAAAGUGUAAACUCUGGCUUGGGGCAUGUCGCUCUGUUUGCUCGACCUGCACAAAACUCGGGUGGCUCAAAUCUCCAGCGCUGUGUAAAUCGCCAUGGUGGCACAGGACACAACGCCCAAGCUCCCAGACUCCUCUCCACUCCCCUGGAGGCCCCAAUCAUCCCCUAGAACAUCCAGCACAGCCAGUGGAGGGCUCCUAGUCUCGGGAUCCAGGUCCAGAAGUCCCUGGAGCAAGUCAGGGUCGAAGACCAGCACAUUGUCCGGCUUGACAUCUGCAUGCACUAGCCCCCGGCCGUGGAGGAAGUCCAGGGCUCCAGCCAGCUGGGCCGCUACCCGCUUCACCAUCAGCUCUGGGAGGCCCUGAGGUUGGGAGAAAGGAAAAGGGACAUGCUGUCUUCUCGCUUCACCAUCCUGGACAUAGCUCUUGAUUCCCAAGGAUUCUGACGCUUGAGGUUUGAAGGUCCAGAACCCAGAGCCCCCAGAGCCAUCCAAUAUCUCCACAAACACGAAAAGUCCUGCAGAUCAGCCACCCUUAAGGUCCCUCCACUGACUCCCAACAGAACCCCACUUCUCAUCGGAACUUAUUCCUCUCGGUUUCUGUCUCUGUGCCCCUCUCUGUGUCUCCAUCUCCGUCUCUGUCUCUCUCUCUGUGUGUGUCUCUGACUCUGUCUCUCUCUGAAACAGGGUCUCAGGUAGACCAGACUGGCCUCAAAUUCACCUAUCCAUCCAUCCAGUUAGUCAUGCAGCCAACCAUGCAGCCAUCUACCCAUCCAUACAACAUGCAUGCAUUCAUCUGUCUGUCCAUAUACCUAACUAACCAUGCAGUUAUGCGUUUAUACAGCUAUCCAUGUGGCCAUCCACGCAGCUAUUUAUCCAUCCAUGCAUCCACCCAUGCAUCCACACAGUUGUCCAUCCAUCCAUGCAUCCACACAGUCAUCCAUCCAUCCAUGCAUCCACACAGUCAUCCAUCCAUCCACCAUCCAUGCAUCCACACAGUCGUCCAUGCAUCCAUAGUCAUCCAUCCAUCCAUGAAUCCAUCCAUCUAUCCAUGCAUCCAUACAGUCAUCCAUCCAUCCAUGAAUCCAUCCAUCUACACAUCAAACUAAGCAUCCAGCUGUCCAUCCAUGCAUGUAUGCACUCAUCCAUCCACCCAUCCACCUAACCACCCAUCCAUCCAUCUACCCACUCAUCAUCCUUCCACCCAAAUAUCCACCCAUCUCCCCUCUCCCUCCCUCUCAUCCUUCUUUUUGCUUACCCCUAACUCUAUCUCAAAUCCAAAGUGCCAACUCCUCAAUAUCUCCAUGCACCCGAUCUCCAAAUAUAAGAGGGGCUAGACUCUCCUGGGUUCAGUCCUGACCUAGUAUCCUUUCUAGAGGAAAGUCCACUUCAAGCCUCCGCAAGUCAGCCUGCAGAGACAGCCUGUGCCAACCUGCCCUUGUUGACAGUAGUACCCCUGCUUCUGCUUUCCCUCUACAACCACGGCCCACCUAUGACCAACCAUAAACCCUUCCAUCCCAUCCAUCCAUUCCCACUUCCCAAUCUCCAUGCCAGCUGGAGCCUCAAAUCAGUCUAUACGCCAUCCCCAAGUAGCCACAAUCCAUCCCCAACCCUAAAGCCAACCCAGCUUCUCCCUUCUAAGCUUAUGUUUAGAUGGUCAUAUGGAUCAGUGCUGGGGUCAGGCAGGCAACCGUGUUGAGACUUAGAAACAGGGAGGUCAUUUGGGGGUCUCAGGGUGAUCUCGAUGGAGCGCUGAUUUGGGGUUAGGGACUGAGGGGGACCUGAGCAGUUCUAUCCAGCCUUGCCUUCUC